rnacentral:rRNA from 1 species
CAGAGGUGGCAAGCGUUGUUCGGAAUUACUGGGCGUAAAGGGCGCGUAGGCGGUCUUGUAAGUCUUGUGUGAAAUCCCUCGGCUUAACUGAGGAACUGCACGAGAUACUGCGAGACUUGAGAUCGGGAGAGGGAAGCGGAAUUCCGGGUGUAGCGGUGAAAUGCGUAGAUAUCCGGAGGAACACCGGUGGCGAAGGCGGCUUCCUGGACCGACACUGACGCUGAGGCGCGAAAGCUAGGGGAGCAAACGGGAUUAGAUACCCCGGUAGUCCUAGCUGUAAACGAUGAGUGCUGGGUGUAGGGGGUAUUAACCCUCCUGUGCCGAAGCUAACGCAUUAAGCACUCCGCCUGGGGAGUACGGUCGCAAGGCUG